rnacentral:rRNA from 1 species
AGCCACCACCAUACCACGCUGAACACGCCCGAUCUAGUCUGAUCUCGGAAGCAAAGCAGGGUCAGGCCUGGUUAGUAAUUGGAUGGUAGACAAUGCAUAGCCAUCAGAGAUUGCGUCUU